UGGGGAAUUUUGGACAAUGGGCGAAAGCCUGAUCCAGCAAUGCCGCGUGUGUGAAGAAGGCCUUCGGGUUGUAAAGCACUUUUGUCCGGAAAGAAAUCCUUGGCUCUAAUACAGUCGGGGGAUGACAGGUACCGGAAGAAUAAGCACCGGCUAACUACGUGCCAGCAGCCGCGGUAAUACGUAGGGUGCAAGCGUUAAUCGGAAUUACUGGGCGUAAAGCGUGCGCAGGCGGUUUGCUAAAGACCGAUGUGAAAUCCCCGGGCUCAACCUGGGAACUGCAUUGGUGACUGGCAGGCUAAGAGUAUGGCAGAGGGGGGUAGAAUUCCACGUGUAGCAGUGAAAUGCGUAGAGAUGGUGGAGGAAUACCGAUGGCGAAGGAGCCCCCCUUGGGCCAAAUACUGACGCUCAUGCACGAAAGCGUGGGGAGCAAACAGGAUUAGAUACCCUGGUAGUCCACGCCCUAAAACGAUGUC
rnacentral:rRNA from 1 species